AGUGAACGCUGGCGGUAGGCCUAACACAUGCAAGUCGAACGGCAGCACAGUAAGAGCUUGCUCUUACGGGUGGCGAGUGGCGGACGGGUGAGGAAUACAUCAGAAUCUACUUUUUCGUGGGGGAUAACGUAGGGAAACUUACGCUAAUACCGCAUACGACCUACGGGUGAAAGCAGGGGAUCUUCGGACCUUGCGCGAUUGAAUGAGCCGAUGUCGGAUUAGCUAGUUGGCGGGGUAAAGGCCCACCAAGGCGACGAUCCGUAGCUGGUCUGAGAGGAUGAUCAGCCACACUGGAACUGAGACACGGUCCAGACUCCUACGGGAGGCAGCAGUGGGGAAUAUUGGACAAUGGGCGCAAGCCUGAUCCAGCCAUACCGCGUGGGUGAAGAAGGCCUUCGGGUUGUAAAGCCCUUUUGUUGGGAAAGAAAAGCAGCAGGUUAAUACCCCGCUGUUCUGACGGUACCCAAAGAGUAAGCACCGGCUAACUUCGUG
rnacentral:rRNA from 1 species